CACGUAGGGUGCGAGCGUUGUCCGGAUUUAUUGGGCGUAAAGAGCUCGUAGGCGGCUCAGUAAGUCAGGUGUGAAAACUCCAGGCUCAACCUGGAGACGCCAUCUGAUACUGCUGUGGCUAGAGUCCGGUAGGGGAGCAUGGAAUUCCUGGUGUAGCGGUGAAAUGCGCAGAUAUCAGGAGGAACACCAGUGGCGAAGGCGGUGCUCUGGGCCGGAACUGACGCUGAGGAGCGAAAGCAUGGGGAGCGAACAGG
rnacentral:rRNA from 1 species